rnacentral:tRNA from 1 species
CCCUGAGUGGCACAAAUGGGUAAGCGCUUGGCUAUUAACCAAAAAGCUGGCAGUUCAAAUCCGCCCUGAGGCA